CCCAACUAUCCCUAUUAAUCAUUACGUUGAUCCUAGAAACCAACAAAAUAGGAUCGAACGUCCUAUUUCAUUAUUCCAUGCUAAUGUAUUCAAGCUAAUGCCUGCUUUAAACACUCUAAUUUUUUCAAAGUAACAGUCCUAACUCCCCAUAACACCAAAUUAAUGACAUCAUGGUUCGUCAGAAAGGAGAAACCAAUAACGCCAGUGCGUACCAAAAAAGCACGACCGACGUAUUGAUCCCGAAAUUCAACUACGAGCUUUUUAACUGCAACAACUUUAAUAUACGCUAUUGGAGCUGGAAUUACCGCGGCUGCUGGCACCAGACUUGCCCUCCAA
rnacentral:misc_RNA from 1 species